GAGACUAUAGCUCAGUGGUAGAGUACAUGUACAGUGCAUGUUUAGCACACAUGAGGUCCUGGGUUCGAUCCCUAGUACCUCCA
rnacentral:tRNA from 1 species